AUACAUUGUACAUGUAAUACAAUUCAUGUACAAUUAUUGAAAGAUGAUCACAAUUACAAAAUAAUUCUGAAGAUAUUAAUAGGACGACACUCGCCCGAAAUUAUAUUUUAAAAAGAAACAUAUCAGGAAAAACAUCUUCUUUUUCGGUUCAUAUACAUGAUGUCUAUUAUCUUGCCCAAAUAACCUUAAAAUUAACAUUUUGUAUGGCCCCACAAAGCUUUGACACAUCUAGUUUUCUACUCUUUUCACCCUAUUUAUUGUCUAAAGAAAAUGCGUAAACUUUAUUGAAAAGUCCAGAGAACUCGGAAUGAAAUCUUGACCUGCAGAAAAAAAAAAUAACACCAUAGAUAAGCGAUAGGUUAACCAAUAAAAUGGAAAAAACUUGUAUUUAUUGCAUGUUAGAAGGAGGAACUUAUUUAAAAACAAAACAAUUCCAAAAAUCUUGCCUUAACACAUGGCAUACAUUUCGUGAGUCCAAAAUAAAACAUGUCUGUUUAAGGUUACAUACUUGAAAUAAAUAGGGUAGGUAUUUCUGUAUUUCCAUUUUAUUUUACUUUUUUGAGUCAUGUGUUUUUUUCUUGUCGUGGUCCGAGUUGAACAUGGGCCGAGUUAUCCGUAAAUUUAAUUAUUGGAUUAUUUCCCUUUGAUAUUGGU
rnacentral:lncRNA from 1 species